rnacentral:rRNA from 1 species
GCAGUGGGGAAUAUUGCACAAUGGGGGAAACCCUGAUGCAGCGACGCCGCGUGGAGGAAGAAGGUCUUCGGAUUGUAAACUCCUGUUGUUGAGGAAGAUAAUGACGGUACUCAACAAGGAAGUGACGGCUAACUACGUGCCAGCAGCCGCGGUAAAACGUAGGUCACAAGCGUUGUCCGGAAUUACUGGGUGUAAAGGGAGCGCAGGCGGGAAGACAAGUUGGAAGUGAAAUCCAUGGGCUCAACCCAUGAACUGCUUUCAAAACUGUUUUUCUUGAGUAGUGCAGAGGUAGGCGGAAUUCCCGGUGUAGCGGUGGAAUGCGUAGAUAUCGGGAGGAACACCAGUGGCGAAGGCGGC